rnacentral:rRNA from 1 species
UUACGGGAGGCAGCAGUGGGGAAUUUUGGACAAUGGGGGCAACCCUGAUCCAGCCAUGCCGCGUGAGUGAAGAAGGCCUUCGGGUUGUAAAGCUCUUUCAGCUGGAAAGAAAACGUACUUAUUAAUACUAGGUGCGGAUGACGGUACCAGCAGAAGAAGCACCGGCUAACUACGUGCCAGCAGCCGCGGUAAUACGUAGGGUGCGAGCGUUAAUCGGAAUUACUGGGCGUAAAGCGUGCGCAGGCGGCUUUUUAAGCCAGAUGUGAAAUCCCCGGGCUUAACCUGGGAACUGCAUUUGGAACUGGAAGGCUAGAGUGUAGCAGAGGGGGGUAGAAUUCCACGUGUAGCAGUGAAAUGCGUAGAGAUGUGGAGGAAUACCGAUGGCGAAGGCAGCCCCCUGGGCUAACACUGACGCUCAUGCACGAAAGCGUGGGGAGCAAACAGGAUUAGAUACCCCGGUAGU